UACGGGGGGGGCAAGCGUUGUUCGGAAUUACUGGGCGUAAAGGGCUCGUAGGUGGCCAACUAAGUCAGACGUGAAAUCCCUCGGCUUAACCGGGGAACUGCGUCUGAUACUGGAUGGCUAGAGUUUGGGAGAGGGAUGCGGAAUUCCAGGUGUAGCGGUGAAAUGCGCAGAUAUUGGGAGGAACACCAGCGGCGAAGGCGGCACUCUGGGCUGGUACUGACGCUGAGGAGCGAAAGCGUGGGUAGCGAACAGG
rnacentral:rRNA from 1 species